rnacentral:rRNA from 1 species
AUUGAACGCUGGCGGAAUGCUUUACACAUGCAAGUCGAACGGCAGCACGGGUGCUUGCACCUGGUGGCGAGUGGCGAACGGGUGAGUAACAUAUCGGAACGUGCCCAGUAAUGGGGGAUAACUAACCGAAAGGUUAGCUAAUAACGCAUACGCCCUGAGGGGGAAAGCGGGGGAUCGAAAGACCUCGCGUUAUUGGAGCGGCCGAUAUCUGAUUAGCUAGUUGGUAGGGUAAAGGCCUACCAAGGCGACGAUCAGUAGCUGGUCUGAGAGGAUGAUCAGCCACACUGGGACUGAGACACGGCCCAGACUCCUACGGGAGGCAGCAGUGGGGAAUUUUGGACAAUGGGCGAAAGCCUGAUCCAGCCAUUCCGCGUGAGUGAAGAAGGCCUUCGGGUUGUAAAGCUCUUUCGGCAGGAACGAAACGCUCUAGAUUAAUACUCUGGGGUAAUGACGGUACCUGAAGAAGAAGCACCGGCUAACUACGUGCCAGCAGCCGCCGUAA